GCGGGAAUAGCUCAGUUGGUAGAGCAUAACCUUGCCAAGGUUAGGGUCGCGAGUUCGAGUCUCGUUUCCCGCUC
rnacentral:tRNA from 4 species